UACAGAGGUCCCAAGCGUUGUUCGGAUUCACUGGGCGUAAAGGGUGCGUAGGUGGCCAGGUAAGUUUGGUGUGAAAGCCCGGAGCUUAACUCCGGAGGGUCGGUGGAUACUGCCCAUCUUGAAGGUGCUAGGGGGAGAUGGAAUUACCGGUGUAGCGGUGAAAUGCGUAGAGAUCGGUAGGAACACCAGUGGCGAAGGCGGUCUCCUGGAGCAUACUUGACGCUGAGGCGCGAAAGCUGGGGGAGCGAACGGG
rnacentral:rRNA from 1 species